GAUGAACGCUGGCGGCGUGCUUAACACAUGCAAGUCGAACGGGAAACCUUUUAUUGAAGCUUCGGCAGAUUUAGCUGGGUUCUAGUGGCGGACGGGUGAUUAACGCGUGGGUAACCUGCCUUAUACAGGGGGAUAACAGUCAGAAAUGGCUGCUAAUACCGCAUAAGCGCACAGAGCUGCAUGGCUGAGUUCGAAAAACUCCGGUGGGAUAAUAGGGAGCCGCGGUGGAUUCGCUGGUUGGGGGGGUAACGGCGCACGAGGGCGACGGUCCAAAGCCUGGCUGAGAGGCUGAGCGGCCACACUUGGGCUGAGACACGGCGCAGACUACUACGGGAGGCAGCAGUGGGGAAUAUUGCACAAUGGGGGAAACCCUGAUGGAGCUACGACGCGUAAGGGAAGAAGGAUCUCAGGAUGUAAACUUCGAUAAGCAGGGACGAUAAUGACGGUACCUGAAGAAGAAGCCCCGGCUAACUACGUG
rnacentral:rRNA from 1 species